CUUUACUGCAGUCAGAUAUACAGAGCUAUGAGCUAAGGCAGAUAUUCAGGGGUCUUUGUACAAUACAGACAGAUAUGUUCCUCCUUUUUGUUCCUUUUCAUCUGCCUUUCCCUUUCUUCUCCUCCCUCGGUCUGAUUGGGACCUCACUAGCUGCGCAGGAAGUGACUGCCAGAGCUUACAAGACUGCUGGUAAAUAUACAGUACAGAUUUAUUUAGAGCAUACAAGAAAACCUUCCGUCUGAGCCAGUGGGCGUCAGCCAGUGGGCAGUGGAGUCAGUGGGCAGUGGAGUCUGUUGCCAGCCUCAGCCAGUGGAAUCUGUUGCCAGCCUCAGCCAGUGGGCAGUGGAGUCUGCUGCCGGCAUGGAUUCACAAAUGUUAGGUGUUCAGUGGUGUUGAAGUCAGGGCAUUGUGAAGACCGCUCAAAGUCCUCCACUCCAAACUCAUCAAACCAUGUUUUUAUGGACCUCACUUUGUGCACUGGAGUACACUCAUGCUGGAACAAGAAAGGGCCUUCCCAGGGAUGGAUUUAUAAUUAAGCAGAGUAGGCAUGUGCCUAAAGGUGCCCUCCAUAUUAUAAAUACCAGCCAGCAUUACCUUCCUAAAACUACCGGAGUGAGAGCUAUAAAUAAAAUAGUAACAGCUAGUCUAACUAUAAGCACAGCAGUGUUAAGUUUUUGUAUAAUUUAAUAUAGCUGUAUAAACUAAAUACAGCAUUUUCAUUGCACCUUCUAAUACCCUUACCCCUAAUGAAAGUAUGGGGCCCGGGGAGGUGCUGUUAUUUCACUGCCGUCGGCCAUCUUAGUUAAGGUCGCUGACACAGAGGUGAAUGGGGAGCGUGCGGGGGUGCUUCAGAUUUCGGUACCUAAAGGCACCUGGGCUUUCAAUCCAGCCCCGAGCCUGCCCCCAAACUGUUGCAACAAAAAUGAAAGCAUAGUUGUCUAAAAUGUUUCUGCCUCCUGUAACAUUCUAACGAACCGUCACUGGAACUAAGGGCCCUAGUCCAAACCCUGAAAAUUAGACACAGUCCAAGCAUAGCAAAUUUUAGUGGUGAAGGGACAUGAAACCCAAAAUGUUUCUUUCAUGAUUCAGACAGAACAUAUCAUUUUAAACAAAUUUCUAAUUUACUUCUAUUCUCUAAUUUGCUUCAUUAUCUUGGUAUUCUUUGUUGAAGAAGCAGCAAUUCCCUACUGAGAGCUAGCUAAGCACAUCAGGUUAAUCAAUGAAAAGAGGCAUAUAUGUGCAGCCACUAAUCAUCAGCUAGCUAACACUAGUGCGUUGCUGUUUCUGAGCCUACCUACGUAUGCUUUUCAACAAAGGAUUCCAAGAGAUCAAAUUAAAUUAGAUGAUAGAAGUAAAUUGGAAAGUUGUUUAAAAUGACAGGCUGUAUCUGAAUUGUAAAAGUUUAAUUUAGACUUUACUGUCCCUUUAAACCAAUAAUUCUAUCCUUGGAGCAUUUGGUCGAUAUUUGCUAUAAAUUAGUUGGGAACCUCAGGGGGGGAAUAUCUUUUUUUUAAGGUAUUUUUCUUUAGCUACACUAGUUUUGUAGAAAUUGUUAUAAAGAAAACAUUAAAAAAUGUGUAUAAUAGGUACAGGUGCAUUUAAAGUGAAUGUAAACUUGAGCGUACUCGCUCAAGUCAUAGGAUAGAAUUUAAAAAAUGAGUGAGACUUUCAUUCAUCAAAUGGGUAAUUUAUCCGGAUCUUCUGAGAUUUUUACAUUUUAAUGCCAGAACGAUAAGCGACGUUCCUCUGCCCGCCAUAGUCCUCAUUUGAUUGACAGAUGACAAAUCUGCAAUCCAUUGUAUGUCAAUCAACCCAUACAGGCAGCAAUGAGUUAGCCAUGCAAUCCAUGUCAUAUCACCAACAUGACAAUCACUCUGGCAAUGCUGAGCAACAAUUUACAGAUGCAGCUAGGAAUACUUCUGUAUACACUAACCACUGCUGCUUAAUAUGUGCCUGCUAAACUGUAUAUGUAGUAUUUGCCAUUAAAAAAUUGUGUACUUUUUUUUUUUUAAAAGCUAUCCAUUAAAAGGGUUACAGCUGUGCCUAUAGUAAUGCUUCUAUUACAAUAUUAUGCCGACCCACUGGGAUGAACUUUUUUUUUUUAUUUUUUAUGACAAUUCCAAUGAACAUCCAAUCAGAGUGUGUGUCAUAUGACACUCUUGAAGUGCAGCCUUUUGAAAGCCCUUAGGAAGCCUAGGUAGAGAGUGGUUAGACUGCUCUCUAUGUCACAGCACAGCCAAAAGAUGGAAUGAAAGGGGCAGAGGAGCAGAAGAUAAAGGAAGAACAAUGCACUACAGAGAGCUAGCUGAACACAUUGUUAAGCCAAUGACAAGUGGAAUAUAUGUGCAGCCAUCAAUCAGCAUCUAGCUCACAGCUCCUGUUCCUACUUAGGCAUGCUUUUCAACAAAGGAUAGCAACAGAAGUAAGCAAAUUAGAUAGUAUAUAAGUAUAUUGGAAAGUUAUUUAAAAUGGUAUGCUCUGUCUGAAUCAUGGAGGAAAAACUUCGGGUUUUAUAUCUCUUUAGAGUAUUGACAUGCUCUGCACGCUCCACAUUAAAACAAAAACGAAUUUCUGGGUUU